rnacentral:rRNA from 1 species
GGGUGAGUAAUGUCUGGGAAACUGCCUGAUGGAGGGGGAUAACUACUGGAAACGGUAGCUAAUACCGCAUAACGUCGCAAGACCAAAGAGGGGGACCUUCGGGCCUCUUGCCAUCAGAUGUGCCCAGAUGGGAUUAGCUAGUAGGUGGGGUAAUGGCUCACCUAGGCGACGAUCCCUAGCUGGUCUGAGAGGAUGACCAGCCACACUGGAACUGAGACACGGUCCAGACUCCUACGGGAGGCAGCAGUGGGGAAUAUUGCACAAUGGGCGCAAGCCUGAUGCAGCCAUGCCGCGUGUGUGAAGAAGGCCUUCGGGUUGUAAAGCACUUUCAGCGAGGAGGAAGGUGGUGAGCUUAAUACGCUCAUCAAUUGACGUUACUCGCAGAAGAAGCACCGGCUAACUCCGUGCCAGCAGCCGCGGUAAUACGGAGGGUGCAAGCGUUAAUCGGAAUUACUGGGCGUAAAGCGCACGCAGGCGGUUUGUUAAGUCAGAUGUGAAAUCCCCGGGCUCAACCUGGGAACUGCAUUUGAAACUGGCAAGCUAGAGUCUCGUAGAGGGGGGUAGAAUUCCAGGUGUAGCGGUGAAAUGCGUAAAGAUCUGGAGGAAUACCGGUGGCGAA